UACGUAGGGUGCGAGCGUUGUCCGGAAUUACUGGGCGUAAAGAGCUCGUAGGUGGUUUGUCGCGUUGUUCGUGAAAUCUCACGGCUUAACUGUGAGCGUGCGGGCGAUACGGGCAGACUAGAGUACUGCAGGGGAGACUGGAAUUCCUGGUGUAGCGGUGGAAUGCGCAGAUAUCGGGAAGAACACCCGUGGCUAAGGCGGCUCUCUAGUACGGUACUGACGCUGAGACGCGAAAGCGUGGGGAGCGAACAGG
rnacentral:rRNA from 1 species